rnacentral:tRNA from 1 species
GAGGGUAUAGCUCAGUGGUAGAGCCUGUGUAUGGUAUGCACAAGGUCCUGGGUUCACUCUCCAGUGCCUCUG